GGUCGUAUCCUCCGAUCGUAGCUGAUCGUAACCAUUCAAGUUAACGUGUCAAUUUACACCGACUUCUUUCCGUUCCUCUGCGGAUCGCCGGACUCCUCAGCUGAUCACAAGAGUUCUAUUUUUUCUAGACGCCGGAGCAUGGCGGAUAAAUUCAGCACAGAUUAACCCGUGCUGGAAAGGAAGUCGGGCACAGACACAAAAUAAAACAUCCGACGAAGAAGUGAAAGGUUUUUAGACGUCAUUUCACCCCGAUGACACCAUGGAUGAGGAGAUGCUGAUUCUAGAAGUCUAGAAGUAGAUUUCCUCCUCUGGAAGGACACAAUCUACUGCUUAUAUGUCUAUGUGUCUGUCUUUAGAGAGACAACUCGUUAUCGAGAGAUUGAACGUGAAUCUGCGGGUUCUUGUGAGUUCUCAGGAUUUCU